CACGUAGGGCGCAAGCGUUGUCCGGAAUUAUUGGGCGUAAAGAGCUCGUAGGCGGACUGUCACGUCCGCUGUGAAAAGCUAGGGCUUAACCCUGGCCUUGCAGUGGAUACGGGCAGACUAGAGGUAGGUAGGGGAGAAUGGAAUUCCCGGUGUAGCGGUGAAAUGCGCAGAUAUCGGGGGGAACACCGGUGGCGAAGGCGGUUCUCUGGGCCUUACCUGACGCUGAGGAGCGAAAGCGUGGGGAGCGAACAGG
rnacentral:rRNA from 1 species